CCUACGGGAGCGCAGCAGUGGGGAAUAUUGGACAAUGGGCGAAAGCCUGAUCCAGCCAUGCCGCGUGUGUGAAGAAGGCCUUCGGGUUGUAAAGCACUUUCAGUGGGGAAGAAAGCCUUGGGGCUAAUACCCUCGAGGAAGGACAUCACCCACAGAAGAAGCACCGGCUAACUCCGUGUCAGCAGCCGCGGUAAUACGGAGGGUGCGAGCGUUAAUCGGAAUUACUGGGCGUAAAGCGCGCGUAGGCGGUCUGAUAAGCCGGUUGUGAAAGCCCCGGGCUCAACCUGGGAACGGCAUCCGGAACUGUCAGGCUAGAGUGCAGGAGAGGAAGGUAGAAUUCCCGGUGUAGCGGUGAAAUGCGUAGAGAUCGGGAGGAAUACCAGUGGCGAAGGCGGCCUUCUGGACUGACACUGACGCUGAGGUGCGAAAGCGUGGGUAGCAAACAGGAUUAGAUACCCUGGUAGUC
rnacentral:rRNA from 1 species